AAUCGAUUUAUACGGUGUCUUUAUAAAUUCAGAUUUCUUCGAAUUUUCGAAUAUCGUUGUACACCACUUGUAGCUACUGGAUAGGCACACAAAUUCUGUGGAAGCAGAGGCGAGAUUUUUAGUGUUGAAUUUUGGGCUCUCUCUCUCUCUCUCUCUCUCUCUCUCUUUCAAUUGAGUUGGGGCAAACAACGAGGACUACUUACUGGCUGUGCAACCUCAGUGUAAGUAAAUUAUGGGCUUUUUUAAGAUGAUAGCGGUGCUGGUGAUUGUGUUGUUCUUGAUCGUAGCUAUCGCGGCUUGCCUUUUUGGUAGGGCCAGGGGUCGUACUGAAGCAACAGGAGUUCCCCAGUAUUACGGCCCUUCAGUACCCCCAUUCGCAGUUCAAUCUCAUGGCCCCCAGAAAUAGGGUUUGCACAAGUUGAGUAGUUAUAUGUACCUUGAUACCAAAAUGGACUUGUAAUAACAAAUAAGGUCACAUUUGAUUUGCGGAUAAAUGAGCAGAAUAGGACUAUUUCAUCCUGGAAUAUCUUAUCCUACCGCAUUAUCGUAUCUGCGAAUCAAACAUAGCCUAUCAGAACUUCCUUGUCAUAAUGUAUAGUCUUUGGGGAUUGCAUCAUUGGUGUGUAAUGGACUAGGAUUGUAAUUUAAUGUAAGUUUUUAAAUAAAUUGUAAAUCAGUGAUAAAGUUUACUAUUUAAUAAUUGAAA